UUGGGGAUGGGGUCAGUUCAAGCUUUAGGGAGGUGGUGACAUUUGCUGUGGUGGUGAGCACAUCUUGAGGAGUUGGAGGAGGUGACAUGCAAGGGAAGAGCCCGUUCUAAGGCAGGGAGGUUAUACAGGUACAGGGCAUGUACAGAGGAGGCAUGUCUAGAAGCAAAAAGGCCUAAUGGCUUUGCAGCAACAUUGUGAUGUAGGCAGAGUCCCCACUCAACAGACGAGGGACAUGGAGCUUGCUCAGGCCUGGCAGGAUUUGGCCUCGAUCCUGAUCACCAUUGUGAGCUCAUGGCCACCCUUUGCUGUUGAUUCUGGAAAGAUCCUUAGGUGUUUCCAUGAUGUAGGAGAAAGGCUGGAAGAGAGACUGAGGCAGGAAGGAGGCUGACUGGCACCAGCUCUGGAGCCAGCAGUUCAGAGUUCAGAGGGGAGGUAGAAGAGGGAGUCCAGCUGCUGAGUGACUUCCCAUCCCCUAUCCCUCCCAAAAGGGCGGCUGACAAGUUGGACAACUGACAGGUGGCCAGAGGAGAAGGUAAGGCUGGGGCAGCCCACCAUCUGGAUCCCCAAACCUCUGACCUAUGGAGGGUCUGACCCUCCCAGCUGGAGGGAAAGAUGAAGUGACCCUGCCAGAAUGUAAAGCAAGCAUGUCAGACUCACAGCCCGCAGGCCGCAUGUGGCCCACAAUGAAUAUUUUUGCUGCCCAACCAAUAUAACGACAGUAAUGCACUGUGUACCCCUUGUGAACAGGGACUUUGUGAGUUGGAGAGGCCGCUAUCUUGGCUCCAGGCUGGCCUCACAACACCAAGCCAAGGUAUUUACUGACGCCUUGUGGCUGUGGGCUCACACAACAGGUGCCAGGAGGAUUCCCAGGCGGGAGGGAAACCAUCCUGGGAAGACCUGGGAAGGAGAUGGACCAUCUACGAGCCAAGAGGAAAGGCAUCAGAAUGAAACCAGCCCUGCUGGCACCUUGGCCUUGGACUUCCAGCCUCUAGAAUGUGAGGAAAUCAUGUGCUGUGGUUUCAGGCACCCGGUAUGUAGCAUUUGUUGUGAGGGCUCCGGCCAACUUCUACACCAGGGUGGCAGCCUUCACAAUCCUGUUCACACAAGAAGUGGGUACGGAAGGAAGGGGUGCCACUCGCUCUCUCAGGGGGGAAACAGAGAAAUUGUCUGAGCAACAGCAACGUUCCAAAGUACGUGACACAAGUUCACUAAAUUGGGAAGUAUGCGGCAUGGUUUUCUUUGACCUGUAAGAGUGUAAACAUUGAAAGAUUCAGAGCACCCCACCCCAAGGCAAGCUGAGCCCCUUACAGCACUGAGCCGGGGCCCUCAAGAAGCCAUGGAGCUUCUGCCUUUGCCCUCUUGUUGUGGGAAGAAGCCCAGUCUUUGGAGCAUGGGAAGGCACAUAGAGCAGAGACGAGCCAUCCCACACGUGGACCAACCAGGGUGCUGACAGCCAGCACCAAACACCAGACAUGUAAGUGAGGCCGUCUUAGACCAUCCAGCCCCAGCCAAGAUGCCAGGUGAUUGCAACUUCAUUCGUGAUCCCAGGUGAGACCAGCAGAAACUGCUCAGCUGAGUCCAGCCCAAAUCGCUGACCUACAGAAUCAAGA